rnacentral:rRNA from 1 species
GACGAACGCUGGCGGCGUGCCUAAUACAUGCAAGUUGAGCGCUGAAGGUUGGUACUUGUACCAACUGGAUGAGCAGCGAACGGGUGAGUAACGCGUGGGGAAUCUGCCUUUGAGCGGGGGACAACAUUUGGAAACGAAUGCUAAUACCGCAUAAAAACUUUAAACACAAGUUUUAAGUUUGAAAGAUGCAAUUGCAUCACUCAAAGAUGAUCCCGCGUUGUAUUAGCUAGUUGGUGAGGUAAAGGCUCACCAAGGCGAUGAUACAUAGCCGACCUGAGAGGGUGAUCGGCCACAUUGGGACUGAGACACGGCCCAAACUCCUACGGGAGGCAGCAGUAGGGAAUCUUCGGCAAUAGACGAAAGUCUGACCGAGCAACGCCGCGUGAGUGAAGAAGGGUGUCGGAUCGUAAAACUCUGUUGGUAGAGAAGAACGUUGGUGAGAGUGGAAAGCUCAUCAAGUGACGGUAACUACCCAGAAAGGGACGGCUAACUACGUG